rnacentral:lncRNA from 1 species
AGAAAAGAAAGGUUACACUGGGCCUAAGCUCCUAGCGUGAGAUUAUCGGAGAAUCGCUUGCGAGUGCAACCCCAGCACUGCCAAGCCAACUCUACGGUCUGCACCACCGCAUCCUAGCCACCAUCAUCCUAGCACAUCCGAGCCACCUUAUCCUAGCCAAUCCGAGCCGCCCUAUCCUAGCCAUCACCCUAUGUCGCUAGGGAACGCCGCACUAAAGCUGCGGAGCACUGCCAGUUAAUUGCAACAUGCCAGAGCCAUGGCGCUCCUGCUUCGACCUUGGAUCUUGGACCUUGGACCGCACCUUGGACGCCUCUAAUUCGGACUUCUGCACCACGACCUUUUUCAUUCGUGGGAUCACCAAUCGGUUUCGCACCAAUCUUUCGCCUUUUGCAUAAUUGGGCUUUCAUCCGGAUUUGUACCCGGGUCCCUUCUGCCGUAAGGACGAUUCAAAUCGCUAAACUAGUUAGCGAUCCGGUGAUAGAGAGGCUCCACACACACGCUGUGAACAGUGCGGGCGGCAUUAUCAAAAUGCGCCGAGUAACCGAGCAGGAACUCAAAUCGAGAGGCGGGUGAGCCACGGCUCCCCCACACCUCCUUGGAGUGCGUGGUGAGGUGGCAGCGCGAGGGGGAUGGGCCUCCUCGCCCUAGCCACCUUACCCCGAUAAUCCACGCCAGGCCCCAUGGGCCGGCGUUUGAAUUAUUAUUAUUAUUAUAAUCCCUACCUGCCACACCCAUCCCCGUCAUCAUCACAGAUCCUUUGCGCUGCAUACCAGGGGGGUCGACAGGGGGGCGCCGCCCCCCUGUCCAUUUCCGGGGGGUGCAGGGGGGCUGGCCCCCCUGCGGGAAAGAAAUGAGAUGCUUCCUUAGUUCCUCCCUUAUCCGCCUUCUCCCCCGCCUGUCAUCCCACUGCCUCCCCUUGGGGGCGCGCGGGGGCAUGUGGAUCUAAGGGCCUCUUAUUAUUAUUAUCCUAACAGCGAAGUGCUUGCUAGUGAAUGCGAAUGCAAGACGCCGUCGCGAGCUCCAGGCUAAGCACGAAAGAAAUUAGUGUUAGCGGCAAUGCGGUUACUUGUUACCGUCGAGACGAGACACCGGUGCGCGCUCCACGCUGCUCCGCAUUCGGCACGCCAAACGGAGUCCGAGUGUCGUGGAGACUGCUGCCACUUGCGGACGGACGUGUUCCAGCGGGCGGACGUGUUCCAGCUCGCAACUAGGCUGCUGCCAUUCGCCGCGACAACGCGAAACCCACAAAAUGCACCCACCUGGAACGGAGCCAGGCAUCUGCGGGCGCCCAUGGAGCAUAUGCGUGGGCAAACGGAAAAAAACGGGAGAAGAAAGAAGCGGCGUGGCGGAUGUCAGUAACCGAUGCCGGCCAACAUUAUUGACGUGCUUGAAAAAGCGCAACACGCACAGGCGAACAUGCAUUGUAGAGCCGAGGCCAGUGAGCUAGCCGGCCAAAGUUGCCGAGCAAGUGAAGCAGGGUGGCUGCCUAGCUGGGCCCGGGCUGAUUAGAGGGCUGAACGGCGGCUGCACCGGGCGAGCUGUACUGGUAGUAUGUACUGGUGCCGGCCAAGCAUGGUAAGUAUGGGCGCCGCUGCAUGGAUCCCGCCCCCAUGUGCCGCGGCGAGGCUGGCGGCGGACCGCUGUGUGGUUCCCCACACCCGUCCAGGGACCGGCCCACGCACGGUGCAGCGGGGCCGGCCGGGUGGGGGGAACCGUGCUGACAGCUGAGUGGGCGGCGGGCGGAGGGCUGGCCGAGGGGAACGAGGUCGGUGCGUGUCCACGGCAUGUACCCGAAACCGCGGAAAAGCCAAAUCAAGAACCAAAUUGUGCCAAUUGUGCGGCCGCGUGAAUGCUCAGGCUGCACCCGUAAGCGAGAGGCUCGUAACGUAAGCAAGCUAAGCCCGCGCAUUUGCCGGGGCUCUCGCACAAACAAUGUGGGCAAGCCCUUGGAAACGUGCCAAACGGAAGUGGUCCAAAGCGGCAAUGAGCUGCAGUGCACGCCCAUGCUCGUUGGAGACAAGGACAAGCCUAUUAGUGUAGCACUCCUGCAUGGAUGCUCCUCAGCACAUCAGAGAGCGUGCGCAAGAAGUUCCUUCCAGACCUGCUGGUCAUUCCCACACUUCGGAUGCACAUGUCCAGACAGCCAGCCCGUGCACCCCGCACACGCCGCCAAAGGAGCGCCCAUAAGGUCUACGUCAUAGAAGUAGGGAUACUGCUCGGACCUAAACCACCCGGACAAACGGGCAGAGAAACUGCAACAACAUGAGGACCUCGUUGCCGCUCUCCGCGACGCAGGAUGGGACGUGAUGUACAGCCCAGACACUGUAGUUAUCCUUGGCCAUACCGGCACGGUCACACCCCACCUUCAUGCCCUCCUCAAAACACUAGGAUGCCCCACGCAGUCCGCACACCACACAUGCCGUAAACUAGUUCAGCACGCCGUCCACACCACAACCGCCAUCACAGCCCUCCACCACGAAAUCUACAGCCACAAAUGGCCCGGGAGACCACCAUAAAACCGUAUGAACCGCUGUGGGAAAGGGGCCAGGCCCAGUACGCCUAGGCGCACUGGCAACCUCCCCUCUCUCCCUUGGGGGACAGGGGCUCAGCGGCGGAGACCAUCUAUGCGGUGGUCUCUCAUGCCCUCACGCCCCUACCUCCGCAGAACACGCCCUGUCAUGCAGGGAGUACCUAUUAUUAUUAUUAUAAUUCCUAUAUCAUAAGAAGAAUAAUAAUAGAAACCGGACUUAGCCGCGCGGGCGAUCCUCCGAGGGUGGGGGGGGGGCCGGGGCCCCGGGCGUGAGGGACCCAGCUUUGUUGUGAGGAGCGUCGCGCGUGCUCACGACAUAGCUGGGGCCGCAUACGGGAGUGCGCUCCGCGGCGUUUGUGUCGGAACCGCGGCCAUUUGCUGUCCGGGCAGCCGUGAGGGACCCAGUUUUGUAAAUACAGCGCACAGAAUUUGGCCCCCCACUUAAGAACGCUGCGUCGCCGAGUUGAGGUCCGGAUCUGCGCGAGCACCGGUGUGUGGCCGCGUGUCCCCAUAAAAGGGACCCAUAUUUAUAUAUAGCAAUUACAUGCGCCUCAGGAACCGGCAAGGUGGCGCUGCGAGGUUGGUCGGCAACGUCUAACUCGCGCACGGCCCUACGGGCCGGUUGUGUCCCCAGCCAAGUACCAUUCGUAUAACAUCUACUACCGCAUUAGAGUAACUCCGGGGCACUUCAUUGAGCCGGGGCCGACCUCAAACAUCUACAUGUGACAGUCGCGUUCGCCAGGACACGCCAUAUCAGGCCAGAUAGUAGCCUGAUUACAUCUAUGCAGAUAUCUGUGUUGACGGCAAUUGAUCACGCCCCAAAACAACGCCGAUGUUGGUCGGUCAAUGUCGUGACUUGAGCGUCGGCGAGCACGUUUUAGCCUGCCGUCAAGCGCUAUUGCUACAAUAGAUUGCAUGUAACAUAUACAUUGAGUGGCGGAGUCUGUAUCCCGCUCUGCGUUUUGUUUGGGGCACCGUCUCCUGGCCUCCUCAACUGGCGGGUUUGGCUUGAAAACCCCCUGAUAUAUUGUCCUUCAGUUAGGGACGGCGUGGUGGCAUCCUUAAAGAACUAUCUAUCAGGGGGUUUUGGGUGCCGUCAGGUGGGCGCCUCCCUGGGGACACGAUUUGUCCUGGAGUGGGAGAGGGUGCAAUGUCCCCAUAGGCCGACAAUGCAAUCUAGCAUGCAGGGGGCUAGGAAGGGACCAAUGCAAUCUAGAACCACCGGCGGUCCCUUGACACCCUUAGGGGCACGCCCCAUGGAUCGCAUGGCGGUCCGCCGGGUGGAGGUGGCUGGACGCGUGUGCGUGCACUCGUGCAUGCCGUGCUGCGGCCGGGCAUGCGGGCUUCAGGGUGGGUCUGGUGCCGAAGUUGAAUAAUAUUAUUAUUAUUAUUAUUAUUAUUAUUAUUAUUAUUAUUAUUAUUAUUAUUAUUAUUAUUAUUAUUAUUAUUAUUAUUAUUAUUAUUAUUAUUAUUAUUAUUAUUAUUAUUAUUAUUAUUAUUAUUAUUAUUAUUAUUAUUAUUAUUAUUAUUAUUAUUAUUAUUAUUAUUAUUAUUAUUAUUAUUUGCCCCCGCUUUUAAGGGUCUCGCUAGAUUUUUUGGCUUUCGGCGCCAUAGACGCCGCGCCGCGCCCUCGUUCGCGCGCCCGGCGCGCAAGUCUGAAAGCCCGCAACCCCGCGCACCUAUAACCCCGCGAAACCGCGCGCGGCGCGCGCGGCAGCGCGAGAACCCGCCCAACCACCGCGACCCAAGCACAGGCGCCGCGCGAUCCGGGCGCUGGCUCCUGCGCGCGCGGCAGCGCUGCUGUGGCCGCGCGCGCGCCCGCGGCGCGCCGGUGCCGGGGAUGGCUUUAGGCAGGCGCGAGCCGCGCUGCUGCACGCGCAGCGCGGCGCCCGGGAUAGCCGUGAUUCCGCCGCCGCGCCGUCAAUGAUCACUAGCACCACCGCUGGUGGCGCUCUCGCCAUGCACCCGCGAGCGUAUCCGCUGGUGAUACACGUGAACAGUAUUGCUCAUGACAUGGCUCAUGAUAUUGGCGCGGCAAACGUUGGAAAACGCACGCAAACGUUGGAGCCCACGUUUUGUAAUUCCGAGGAGGGGUUGCACGCGGCCGGUGGUGGCCCAUUUCAUGCCGCUGCUUUGUUUGCACGGCCUUCACAUGCCUACCGGUGCUGCGGCAGUUUGCGGGUCCGUGUUGAUUGGUCGCGUGCUUGUACAGCCGAUGUACAUGCAGUUGUAACCCGUAGAUCUUGUGGGCGGCCGCACCGCCCGUGGGUCGGCUGUCAGCAUGCUUCCGUGCUGCCACUACUGCCACGCCCGCUGAACCCAUGGCAGCAGCACACUAUCUAACUAGCUAGGGUCGCCUCGCAGCCAUGCAUCAGUUGCGCACAGCGCGCAACUCCCGCGCACCGAGGGCAAGCCGCUGAUGACAGGUGCGUUUUCAAGCGGCCAAUGACAGCAGCCUGUCACACGGCCGCCCCUGCAGCAAGCGAAACAAGCCGGCGCCCGGUUGCUGUGCUGUGUACCCGCGUCAGCACCGCACACACACACACACACACACACGUUGUAUUUACCGCUUUCCCGUGCACGCGGCCACACACAGUUGCAGGCAUUAGAGCAGGCAUCAGUGCAGGCGCGGCGUGGCGUUUCAGGUGAGCUAUUGCUUGCUGCCUGCUUGUUGGCGUGGCCUGAGUUCCCUUGCUGGGGCGUGCUGGGCAAGCGCAUUAACCCGCGCUGGUGCAUGCCUGCAGGCGCUGCGCUGAUGCUGUUGGUUUUUUCCCUGACCGUCGGCUUUGAGUAGUCCAACGUGCGCGUGCGUGGCCGGGGUAUUAUUCAGCUGGGUUCGUGCGUGCACAAAGGUAACGUGCGCCGCACGGUUUAAUGCGCUUGCUCCCCUGCCUGUUGUUUGUCCCGCUGCAGUUGAGGCUUAUUGCAAGCGCAAUCAGGCUGCGCGGCGUGCCACUACCGUGCAGUGGAGCCUGGGCCGUUUCCUAUACCUGGUGUUGCAGAGUUCAAAGUGUACAACACGCUAGCUAACCCUCCUGGCAUACUUUUAACGGCGCGAACAGUUCCAGCAACGCUGAUGGCGCAUACGGUUCUCGUGCCAUAAAAUAGAAAUUCCUAACGUAUGUCUUCAUAGUUGGCUUCGUUGCUGCCGCUACAAGGUUUGCUUAAUAACCCACCCGUUCACAUACCUUGCCACACGAUGCUGCAUGACCGCCCGUGCCACAAACUAUUUCCAAGUGCACGGCAGAGCUUUCACCCCUUCCAGUCCUGCCUUUCCACACGUCGCCCCAAUGUCGGCCUGCAUGUAGCUUGCCUCGGACCAUACAUCCGCAGUGCUCCACCUGCCCCUCGAUCCCUGGGGGGUCCGACAGGGGGGCGCCGCCCCCCUGUCAAAGAGAGAACCCGGGGCCCGAGGGAUGAAUAGUAAUGAUCCUCCCAACAGUGAUAAUGCUGCACAUCGCGCCGCGUUCCAGGGGGGUCGACAGGGGGGGCGCCGCCCCCCUGUCCAUUUCCGGGGGGUGCAGGGGGGCUGGCCCCCCUGCGGGAAUACCUGUGUUACGCCCGCCUCAAAUGCUUCCCCGCCCUCCGGCUCUUCAAUGUGGCCACCCUCGGGGGCGGGCGGGGGCAUGCGUGUCUAGAGGCCUUGUUAUUAUUGGCGCCGCCGCCGCGCACCUGGUUGCGCGCCUGGCCGGGCCGCCCGAAAGCCAGCACGCUCUUCUAGGCCCUGGCGCUGCCCCGCGCGCGCGCCGCGCGACCCAGCGCGAGAGCCCGCCCAACCGCCGCGAUCCAGCCGCUGGCUCCCCGGAUCCGGGCGCCGGCUCCGCGCGGCGCCAGCUUGCGCGGCGCGCGGCCAUCCCGCGCCCGCCGGGCUGCGGGAGCCGCGCGCUGCCGCCCCCUACAAAUGGGCGCCACCGGCGGCCGCCACCGCGCGCCAAGCUAGCUGCCAGGCCAGUGUUUGUGCCGGCCGCCCCCAUGAUGAGCGCUAGUGCUUAUCGCUGGUGGUGGCAUCAGCUGUGACGUGUCCAAACAUGUUGGCUAGCGUAUCAUUACAUGUUUAUACAUUUUAUACAUUGCUUAUAUACUUGCUGCACCAUUACUAGCCGCGCGCCGUUGCAAAACCAGCCGGAAACCGCUCGGGGCAGCGGUCGCCUUGCCCCGCCUGCUGCCCAGCCGCGCUAUGCUGCCGCGACUGAUCCAGCUGGGCUGCGCCUGCAGCAUCGCAGCCAAAAUGUGCAUGCAGUGCGAGUGGCAGGCGCGCGCGAAUGAAAACCCACAUAUGCCCAACUGCCGCCGCAUCGGCCCACUUUAGUUCCACAAACGCCCACCAACUGCUGCAUGCGGCGUUAGUGUGUUGCAGUCACCUCGCCGGCGCCGGGUCCUAUGCAAUGCACUGCGCCUGUGUUUGUUAUGUUAUUCUUGGUGUGGGACUGCAAAUGAACACCGGCAGACAUGCACCAGUGAAAGGCCACAUGUGCGCAACUGCUGCCAGCCAACUAACUGCCCAACCGCCCAGUUGCGUGCAGUUACUUGGCCAGCUCCUAUGCACUGUUCUUAUGUCGGUGCUUAAAUUGUAUGAUCAUGAAAACCAUUACAAUAAUAUGCAGCUGCCUCGUGCACCAUGCGCGCUGUCAUGUGCAAGUGUGGUUGUGCAGUCGGCUCAACAGCCGAGCAAAACCAGCAGUUACACGCCCUCCCACUUUCCAAAACGGGUGCUCCCUUUAUGCACAAGCCAGCGCAAAUGCAUGAUGCUAUCAUUUGUGAACAGGUGCCCCUGCUUAGUGCACCUGCCUCCAGUGCAACCCCUUGCAGUGCAACAGAGGCACAACCCAGCUGCAUCCAAGCAAGCAAUAUGCGCUCCACGCAUGCUAUAACUGUGCCACACAGCACGUGCGGGUGGAGUCCAGUUCAUGUCCGUGCAACAAUUGUUUGCAACCAUCCCGCCAGCAAUGCAGUUCUAGCCUGCGUCCUCGCCUUCCUCCCACCCAAACGUUCCGCAUGCCGGUGCAUGUAUUAGGCUCCCCUCUCACCCAUACCCUAGCCACCAUUUCACCUUGGGGGGCCCGACAGGGGGGCGCCGCCCCCCUGUCAAAGAGAAGCGACGGGCCACGAGGGGGGCGGGUAAUAAUCCCUACCCGCCACACCCCCCCCCUCAUCAUCACAGUUCCUUUGCGCUGCAUACCAGGGGGGUCGACAGGGGGGCGCCGCCCCCCUGUCCAUUUCCGGGGGGUGCAGGGGGGCUGGCCCCCCUGCGGGGGAAAAAAUGAGAUGCUUCCUUAGUUGCUCCCUUCUCCUCCUUCUCCCCCGCCCCUCAUCCCACCGGCUCCCCUUGGGGGCGCGCGGGGGCAUGUGGAUCUAAGGGCCUCUUAUUAUUAUUAUUAUUAUUAUUAUUAUUAUUAUUAUUAUUAUUAUUAUUAUUAUUAUUAUUAUUAUUAUUAUUAUUAUUAUUAUUAUUAUUAUUAUUAUUAUUAUUAUUAUUAUUAUUAUUAUUAUUAUUGCCCCCGCUCUUAAGGGUCUCGCUAGAUUUUUUGGCUUUCGGCGCAUAGACGCCGCGCCGCGCCCUUGUUCGCGCGCCCGGCGCGCUAGUCUGAAAGCCCGCAACCCCGCGCACCUAUAACCCCGCGCAACCGCGCGCGGCGCGCGUGGCAGCGCGAGAACCCGCCCAACCGCCGCGACCCAAGCACAGGCGCCGCGCGAUCCGGGCGCCGGCUCCCGCUGCUGUGGCCGCGCGCGCGCCCUCGGUGCACCGGUGCCGGGGUUGGCUUUACGCAGGCGUGCGCCGCGCUGACGCGCGUGCAGCGCGGUGCCCGGGAUAGCCGUGAUUCCGCCGCCGCGGUGUCGAUGAUCACUGGCACCACCGCUGGCGGUGCUCUCGCCAUGCACCCGCGAGUGUAUCCGCUGGUGAUACACGUGAACAGUAUUGCUCAUUACAUGGCUCAUGAUAUUGGCGCGGCGAACGUUGGAAAAACGCACGCAAAUGUUGGAGCCCACGUUUCGUAACUCCGAGGUGGGGUUGCACGCGGCCGGCGGUGGCCUGGUUCAUGCCGCUGCUUUGUUUGCACGGCCUUCUUCACAUGCCUACCAGUGCUGCGGCAGUUUGCGGGUCCGCGUUGGUCGCGUGCUUGUACCGCCGACGUACGCGCAGUUGUAACCCGCGGAUCUUGUGGGCGGCCGCACCGCCCGUGGGUCACCUGUCAGCAUGCUUCCGUGCUGCCACUACUGCCACGCCCACUCAACCCAUUGCAGCAGCACACUAUCUAACUAGCUAGGGCCGCCUCGCAGCCAUGCAGUAAUUGCGCACAGUGCGCAAAUCCCGCGCGCCGAGGGCAAGCUGCUGAUGACAGGUGCGUUUUCAAGCGGCCAAUGACAGCAGCCUGUCACACGGCAGCCCCUGCAGCAAGCGAUACAAGCCGGCGCCCAGUUGCUUUCCCGUUUACCCGCGGCGGCUCCGUUGUUCAGCUCCGCACACACAUACGUUGUAUUUACCGCUUUCCCGUGCACGCGGCCACACACAGUUGCAGGCAUCAGCGCAGGCGCGGCGUGGCGUUUCAGGUAAGCUGUUGUUUGCUGCCUGCUUGUUUGCGUGGCCUGAGUUCCCUUGCUGGUGCUAGCUGGGCUCACUCCAUAUCCUGCUCGGCGUGUUUGCAGGGCAGCCAUCCAUGCACCAGUGCGGUGCUGGCGUGCUGCUCGCACGUGAUAUGGACGUUCUUAACCCGCGCUGGUGCAUGCCUGCAGGCGCCGCGCUGACGCUGUGGGUUUGUUUCCUGACCGUCGGCUGUCAGUAGUCCAACGUGCGCGUGCGUGGCCGGGGUAUUAUUCAGCUGGGUUCAUGCGUGCACAAAGGUACUUUGUGGGCCGCAUGGUUUAAAGCGCUUGCUCCCCUGCCUGUUGUUUGUCCCGCUGCAGUUGAGGCUUAUUGCAAGCGCAACCAGGCUGCGCGGCGCACCACUACUGUGCAGUGGAGCCUGGGCCGUCUUCUACACCUGGUGUUGCAGAGUUCAAAGUGUACAACACGCUAGCUAACCCUCCUGGCAUACUUUUAACGGCGUGAACAGUUCCAGCAAUGCUGCUGGCGCAUACAGUUCUCGUGCCAUAAUUAGAAGUUCAUAACGUAUGCCUUCAUAGUUGACUUCGUUGCUGCUGCUACAAGGUUUGCUUCAUAACCCACCCGUUCACAUACCUUGCGACACGAUGCUGCAGGACCGCCCGUGCCACAAGCGAUUUCCAUGUGCACGGCAGAGCUUUCGCCCCUUCCAGUCCUGACUUUCCACACGCCGCCCCAAUGUCGGCCUGCAUGUACCUUGCUUGCCUGGGACCAUACUUCAGCCAUGCUCCACCUGCCCCUCAAUCCCUGGGGGGUCCGACAGGGGGGCGCCGCCCCCCUGUCAAAGAGAGAACCCGGGGCCCGAGGGAUAGGUAGUAAUGAUCAUCCCAACAAUGUUAAUGCUGCACUUCGCGCCGCGUUCCAGGGGGGUCGACAGGGGGGCGCCGCCCCCCUGUCCAUUUCCGGGGGGUGCAGGGGGGCUGGCCCCCCUGCGGGAAUACCUUUGUUACGCCCGCCUCAAAUGCUCCCCCGCACUCCUGCUCUUUCAUGUGGCCACCCUCGGGGGCGGGCGGGGGCAUGCGGGUCUAGAGGCCUUGUUAUUAUUAUUAUUAUUGCCCCCGCUCUUAAGGGUCUCGCUAGAUUUUUUGGCAUUCGGCGCCAUAGACGCCGCGCCGCGCCCUCGUUCGCGCGCCCCGCGCGCUAGUGUGAAAGCCCGCAACCCCGCGCACCUAUAACCCCGCGAAACCGCGCGCGGCGCGCGCGGCAGCGCAAGAACCCGCCCAACCGCCGCGACCCAAGCACGGGCGCCCCACGAUCCGGGCGCCGGCUCCCGCGUGCGCGGCAGCGCUGCUCCGGCCGCGCGCGCGCCCUCAGCGUGCCGGUGCCGGGGUUGGCUUUAGGCAGGCGCGAGUUGCGCUGCCGCGCGCACAGCGCGGCGCCCGGGAUAGCCGUGAUUCCGCCGCCGCGCCGUCGAUGAUCACUGGCAUCACCGCUGGUGGUGCUCUCGCCAUGCACCCGCGAGUGUAUCCGCUGGUGAUACACGUGAACAGUAUUGCUCAUUACAUGGCUCAUGAUAUUGGCGCAGCGAACGUUGGAAAAACGCACGCAAACGUUGGAGCCCACGUUUUGUAACUCCGAGGUGGGGUUGCACGCGGCCGGCGGUGGCCUGGUUCAUGCCGCUGCUUUGUUUGCACGGCCUUCACAUGCCUACCAGUGCUGCGGCAGUUUGCGGGUCCGCGUUGGUCGCGUGCGUGUACGGCCGAUGUACGUGCAGUUGUAACUCGCGGAUCUUGGCGGCUGCCGCACCACCCGUGGGUCACCUGUCAGCAUGCUUCCGUGCUGCCACGCCCGCUCAACCCAUUGCAGCAGCACACUAACUAGCUAGGGCCGCCUCGCAGCCAUGCAGUCAUUGCGCACAGCACGCAGGUCCCGCGCGCCGAGGGCAAGCUGCUGAUGACAGGCGCGUUUUCAAGCGGCCAAUGACAGCAGCCUGUCACACGGCAGCCCCUGCAGCAAGCGAUACAAGCCGGCGCCCAGUUGCUUUCCCGUUUACCCGCGGCGGCUCCUUUGUUCAGCUCCGCACACACAUACGUUGUAUUUACCGCUUUCCCGUGCCCGCGGCCACACACAGUUGCAGGCAUCAGCGCAGGCGCGGCGUGGCGUUUCAGGUAAGCUGUUGUUUGCUGCCUGCUUGUUUGCGUGGCCUGAGUUCCCUUGCUGGUGCUGGGUCUCACUCCAUAUCCUGCUCGGCGUGUUUGCAGGGCAGCCAUCCAUGCACCAGUGCGGUGCUGGCGUGCUGCUCGCACGUGAUAUGGACGUUCUUAACCCGUGCUGGUGCAUGCCUGCAGGCGCCGCGCUGACGCUGUGGGUUUGUUUCCUGACCGUCGGCUGUCAGUAGUCCAACGUGCGCGUGCGUGGCCGGGGUAUUAUUCAGCUGGGUUCAUGCGUGCACAAAGGUACUUUGUGGGCCGCAUGGUUUAACGCGCUUGCUCUCCUGCCUGUUGUUUGUCCCGCUGCAGUUGAGGCUUAUUGCAAGCGCAACCAGGCUGCGCGGCGCGCCACUACUGUGCAGUGGAGCCUGGGCCGUCUUCUACACCUGGUGUUGCAGAGUUCAAAGUGUACAACACGCUAGCUAACCCUCCUGGCAUACUUUUAACGGCACGAACAGUUCCAGUAACGCUGCUGGCGCAUACAGCUCUCGUGCCAUACUUAGAAGUUCCUAACUUAUGCCUUCAUAGUUGACUUCGUUGCUGCCGCUACAAGGUUUGCUUCAUAACCCACCCGUUGACAUACCUUGCCACACGAUGCUGCAGGACCGCACGUGCCACAAGCGAUUUCCAUGUGCACGGCAGAGCGUUCACCCCUUCCAGUCCUGACUUUCCACACGCCGCCCCAAUGUCGGCCUGCAUGUAGCUUGCCUGGGACCAUACUUCCGCCAUGCUCCACCUGCCCCUCAAUCCCUGGGGGGUCCGACAGGGGGGCGCCGCCCCCCUGUCAAAAAAUGAACCCGGGGCCCGAGGGAUCGGUAGUAAUGAUCAUCCCAACAAUGAUAAUGCUGCACUUCGCGCCGCGUUCCAGGGGGGUCGACAGGGGGGCGCCGCCCCCCUGUCCAUUUCCGGGGGGUGCAGGGGGGCUGGCCCCCCUGCGGGAAUACCUUUGUUACGCCCGCCUCAAAUGCUUCCCCGCCCUCCGGCUCUUUCAUGUGGCCACCCUCGGGGGCGGGCGGGGGCAUGCGGGUCUAGAGGCCUUGUUAUUAUUUGCCCCCGCUCUUAAGGGUCUCGCUACACGUUUUGGGUUACGGCGCCAUAGACGCCGCGCUGCCACCUCGUUCGCGCGCCCGGCGCGCAAGUCUGAAAGCCCGCAGCCCCGCGCACCUAUAACCCCGCGAAACCGCGCGCGGCGUGCGCGCCAGCACGACAACCCGCCCAACCGCCGCGACCCAAGCACGGGCGCCGCGCGAUCCAGGCGCGGGCUCCCGCGCGCACGGCAGUGCUGCUCCGGCCGCGCGCGCGCCCUCGGCGCACCGGUGCCGGGGUUGGCUUUAGGCAGGCGCGAGUCGCGCUGCCGCGCGCGCAGCGCGGCGCCUGGCAUUGCCGUGUUCCCGCCGCCGCGCUGUCAAUGAUCACUGGCACCACCGCUGGUGGUGCUCUCGCCAUGCACCCGCGAGCGUAUCCGCUGGUGAUACACGUGAUCAGUAUUGCUCAUGACAUGGCUCAUGAUAUUGGCGCGGGACAUGUUGGAAAAAUGCACGCAAACGUUGGAGCCCACGUUUGUAACUCCGAGGAAGGGUUGCACGCGGCCGGCGGUGGCCCGUUUAAUGCUGCUGCUUUGUUUGCACGGCCUUCACAUGCCUACCAAUGCUGCGGCAGUUGGCGGGUCGGCGUUGAUCGUGUGCAUGUACGGCCGAUGUACGUGCAGUUGUAACCCGCGGAUCUUGGCGGCAGCCGCACCGCCCGUGGGUCACCUGUCAGCAUGCUUCCGUGCUGCCACGCCCGCUCAACCCAUUGCAGCAGCACACUAAUAACUAGCUAGGGCCGCCUCGCAGCCAUGCAGUCAUUGCGCACAGCACGCAGGUCCCGCGCGCCGAGGGCAAGCUGCUGAUGACAGGCGCGUUUUCAAGCGGCCAAUGACAGCAGCCUGUCACACGGCAGCCCCUGCAGCAAGCGAUACAAGCCGGCGCCCAGUGCUUUCCCGUUUACUUGCGGCGGCUCCUUUGUUCAGCUCCGCACACACAUACGUUGUAUUUACCGCUUUCCCGUGCACGCGGCCACACACAGUUGCAGGCAUCAGCGCAGGCACGGCGUGGCGUUUCAGGUAAGCUGUUGUUUGCUGCCUGCUUGUAGAUAGGCGUGGCCUGAGUUCCCUUGCUGGUGCUGGGUCUCACUCCAUAUCCUGCUCGGCUUGUUUGCAGGGCAGCCAUCCAUGCACCAGUGCGGUGCUGGCGUGCUGCUCGCACGUGAUAUGGACGUUCUUAACCCGCGCUGGUGCAUGCCUGCAGGCGCCGCGCUGACGCUGUGGGUUUGUUUCCUGACCGUCGGCUGUCAGUAGUCCAACGUGCGCGUGCGUGGCCGGGGUAUUAUUCAGCUGGGUUCAUGCGUGCACAAAGGUACUUUGUGGGCCGCAUGGUUUAACGCGCUUGCUCCCCUGCCUGUUGUUUGUCCCGCUGCAGUUGAGGCUUAUUGCAAGCGCAACCAGGCUGCGCGGCGCGCCACUACUGUGCAGUGGAGCCUGGGCCGUCUCCUAUACCUGGUGCUGCAGAGUUCAAAGUGUACAACGCGCCAGCUAACCCUCCUGGCAUACUUUUAACGGCGCGAACAGUUCCAGUAUCGUACCAACCUUCCCUCUCCGACUCUGGCCCUCACGCAUGGCCACUCUGACGGAGACCACCCCCCCUGACAACCCAGGCCUUUGGCGUAACGUUGUCCUGCCAGUCCCCAAAUCCACCAUAGAAGCAACACGGACAAAAAUAGAACACAACCUUGCGACACCCAUCGCCGCCCUGACCAAUGCACUGCAUCCAGCCACCACGGCAAUCCAGUCCCACCUGGCCCAACAUGCAACGGGAGCCACCACAGCCGUAGAAUUGCAGGACGCCCUACAACAAGACCCAGCAGUUCAGACACCCAACCUUGAUGCUCUAGCCGCCCAACUGCAUGACAUACUGACAGACGGACUGAGCAUCCUUGUAGAUAUGUGCCCGAAGAAACCCCCAGUACGUGGGGCGUUCAUCCCGCGCCGACUCAGCAAAAAAACUACGAAAGGCUCAUGAUGAAAUCAAACAACUACGCACACAAUGCGACCAACUUAACAACACAACCCCCAACACACACCCCGCAGCAGCCACCCAACCAGAAACGGGCCCUACCCAACCAGAGGCUGGGACAGCGACAACCACCCCUUCCCCCCCUCAGCCCGCCGAGAAUGGGGAAACCCACCCAGCAACAGCUGUCACGCCGCAACCCGCCCGCAGCCCACGACCGCCCCCAGGCACCCGUGCCAUAGCGGAGUUAAUCGAGAAGAUUAAAACCGCGGGACAAUCCCUACGCAAACUUCUCAAGAAACAAACACAAGAUGAUAUCAAAAAAGCCAAAGCCCGUUUCCAGCACAAACUUGCCACACGAGCCAAACAAGCCCAUAAGGACAUUUUCUCCACAAACGAGCAAACACGAGGUAUCCCUGCACUCCUACACCCACACACCAAAGCACACUGCACCGACAAAUCCUCAAUACUGGACGCCAUCCAUACCUACUUCCAGGGCCAGGGAGCCACCAUCACUGGACCCCGAACAGGAAAAUAUAAGCCUGAAGAUAGACUGCCCAACAAUACCUACCCAUUCGACCCUAAAUACAAGAACAGUGCCCCUGACACCUUUACCCUACACAGCGCAACCACACCACCAACGCACGCGCUGCUCCCCAGCAUUGCUGACAGCACCAACUUUGACUCGUGCAUUGACCACCUGAGCCGCAACAAGUCCCCAGGACCAGAUGGCAUACCCAAUGAGUUGCUUCGCGCCUUACCGCAAACCUUGCGUAGCACUCUGCAUAACCUCCUUACCCUGAUGUGGGUGAGGGCACACACACCAGCCUCGUGGACGGCCAGCGAAACAGUCCUGCUUCCCAAACCAGGAGACCCGCUCCUCCUAAAAAAAUUACCGGCCCAUUGCACUUGCCAAUACUACAUAUAAACUCUGGACAAGCCUUAUAACCGUAGCCAUAUCUGACAUCUCACACGACCUAGACUUAUUCAGCGAGACACAAGAAGGGUUUCUGCGGUACCGCAACACGGAACGACAAACUCUAAACCUAGUGCACGCACUAGAAGAUGCAGGCCUGACCAAACAAGACAUAUAUGUGAUGUAUGCCGACUUCUCAAGCGCCUUCAACACAAUCUCACACGACAGGCUUUUGGAAAUUAUGUGGGACCUCGGCAUGCCACACGACCUGAUUCGUGUGGUCCAAAACCUCUACUCCAAUGCGCGCACCUACAUACGCUCUGAACAUGGCCUGACUGCCCCUAUCUACAUUGAACGUGGCACUGUACAAGGAGACACACUCUCACCCGUCCUAUUCCUGGUGUUCAUAGAACCACUCAUCCGCUGGCUGCAUGUUGGGGGGCGCGGCUACUCCUACGGCUGCCUACCACCCCACCUGAAUGCCCGCUACAACUGCUCCUCCGCAGCCUACGCCGAUGACCUGGCAGUGCUUACAAACACCUUAAGCGACCUCCGAAUCCAAUGCGACAAAAUACACCGGUACUCUGAGUGGGCAGGCCUCCAGGUUAACCACGCAAAGUGCAGAGUCACUGGUAUCCUGCACCACAGAGCCAUGCAAGACAAGGGUCUGAACGGGCCCACCUGCAACCGUACACUAAGAUCAAUGCUGGACAACAAAAUCCACAUUGGCACCACAAGUAUACCCUACCUUCCAGCGACGGAACCGUUCAAGUACCUCGGUGUGCAAGUCACAAUGACCCUAAACUGGGGGCCCCAAUUUGCGUACCUAUGCAAAAAUAUCACGGACAAAAGCCUAAGCCUCCAAACAUGUCAAGCCUCACCAGAGCAAUGCCUGCGCAUCAUCAAAUCGUGCAUUCAAUCCGUUGCUGCAUAUAGUUUCGCCGUCAUGCCCUACACGGAAAAUGACAUACGCACACUUGACAAUAUGAUCGCACGCCUGGCCAGAACAUGCUAUCGCCUCAGCCGCGGGUUCCCCACGCGAGCCGUCCUAACGCCAGCAGAAAUGUCCGGCCUAGGAGUCGGCUCCCUGCUCCCAAUCUAUGUGCAGAAAGCAACACGGGCCCUAACAUUGGCCCUGAAUGACCCAGGCCGCCUGGGAAUGGUCACACAUGCCCUGCUUGAACUACAGACCAGAAUAGCCGGCACUACAGACAUGCACAAACUCCGCCAUGAAAGCCACUACUAUACGACACUGAAACAACUCAGCAUCAUGCGCGCCUAUAACCUCACCAUAUGGGACCACGGGGCCCCAUACAAAGGGCCACCCAACAUACUGCUAACCGCAAUCAGCCGCAGCUCACACCCUAUCUCACACCACUUGGUCCUUACCUUGACACAAGCCGGCCUUGAUUUGCGAAACCUUGUAGGUAAAGAGCGUACACCCGAGGGGCGCGCAUGCCUCAUUCCUUCUGACAUCCUCUUCCAACACCUGCCACGCAACCAAUGCCAGCAUAAGCACCGAGUGGCCCUAAACCGCCUUAGCCUAUGCCUGAGCGCGGAAUGCGAUGGUGCCCGUGAGGCACCUUUCAACCAGGCUGAAAACUACAAAUGUCACUUACCCCUUCCGCAGCGAUACAGAGCCCUACCCAACACGCCAGCCUUUGCCGCCCUCCUACCCCGCAAUGCCACCCCGGGCGAGCUAACAACCCAAUCUACGAUGGACGCCCACCUCCAACACAUGACUGCAUUACACCCCAAUACCGAGGCUCAAACACCCCAACACCCAAAUGGCCUAGGCCCCCGCCAGCGCCAAACCAUGUUAGCCCACAUGCUGAGAACAACAGGUGCCCCACCCACAGCACCAACCCAGUCGCCAACGGCAACUCUAAUUCAAACUCCGACAGACACACUGCCUACCCCGCCACUAGCACAACCCAUGCCACCGCCACUAACACAGCCCACGCCCCCACUAACAACACCAGCGGGCCCGGACGCCCCCAACACCCAGACACCACCCACAGUAGCGUCCCUCACAACGGCCCACCAGCAGCCAAAAAGUAAGAAACAACGACCCAACGCCAUCAAGCGCCUACAGCAAAAGAUUGAUGCUGACCCCCGGCACGACCCACUGCCACCUACCGAUAUGCGCAGCCACACAGAGAAAUCUGGCUUUAUACUAAACAACGACCCCGAUGAAAAUGACUCCGGUCCCCCGAACUUUGUCAUGUGGGCACCACACUACUUUGCCAAUGUACAAAAAGACAUGCAAGGAACCAACCGCAUGCCUCGACUUGGAAUUCCCCGCCACCACAGCAAGUUCCCGCAAAACCGCACUCGCCCCAACCCGACCCGUACAAUCCCAGCCCACCUCGCAGACCCCUACUUCCUGGGUAGUCAGGUGGACGACACCAAUCCGCUAAACCCCGUCACAGCUUACAUAUCCGCAAACCCGCCAACAACACCUCCCACCUGUGCUUAUGACUCCCGACCGAGAUGGGCAGACACUGGGGAUUUCAUGAUUGCACCUGAGCCUCCAAACUGGCCGAACAUCACUGGUGCCACACCGGGGGACAGCCACGACCCCCGCCAGGCUGACCACGACCCACAAGGACAAAUGCGUGCAGAAUAUAUGCAGGAGCGUGAACGCCUCCGUGCACACUUGGAUGACCACCCACCCCAACCAAGACCCUUCAAGCGUUGGAUGGGAAUCCGACUCCAGCUCCUGACAGGCAAACUACCCUGGCCGACGCAGGCAUACCAUGUUGCCCAAGCAGCGAAGCAACUAGUGUACUCCCUGUACCACGACAUAGAGGAAAUCUCGCACAUUCAAGCUGGGCCCAUCACUAAAGCCGUCACUGCCCCAGAGAAGGGUGACAGUCUCCACACCGAGCGCUACUAUGAGGUAGCUUGGAAGGACACAACCAUCGUUAAAGGAGCGGCUGAGGCCUACACCCGCAUGAAGUAUACUGGGACUGCUGCCGCACACAUGGGAUACGGGCAAGCGUGCUGCAAACAUUUCUUGCGCAUGAAAUGGGACCCCACCAGCGAACCCGUAGACAAAUGCCCCACCCUCCAAGGGUGGACCCCUGCCAUCUCCGAACACUUGCGGAAACUUGCAGAACCCCCUACACCCAUGCCACAACCCAAGCCCAAAGACGCCCGUCUUACACCUGCCCAACAGCAAGGGCGAUGGACGCAAGCCGACGUGGCCGCGUCCCACGUCCGACGUACCACCAAACAGAACACGCGCAUUGACACCAACCCGUGCAAUCCCUACCUCGACGUCCACCCCACCGGAAGGUAUACAAUCCAAAUCCCAGACACAUACACUGAUGAACGCACCCUCGCCCAUGUCUACAGCCCUACCGGACGCCACAUAGCAUCCAUUACGCUAGGCACCUUGCUGACUCUUAAAGCUCGGUAUGACCACGCCCUAUCUACCCACCAUGACGCAACCAGCCCGCACCGAUCUCAAGGGGGCUUCCCGGAAGACUUGGCUAAACUGCUACUCCGCGCACGGGUAGACAGCAAAGGCAAGACAUGCAAGUCGGCCCCCGCACGUGAGCGCUCUCUCCCCGAGUCCCUGAAGCUGGCGCUGUAUAACUGCCUUGCCUCGACACACUCAGACCCUGACCGCCCAGUGGGGCUGGUGGAACGCUUUGCCUCUCCACUCAACUGCUCGGGCCGGGCCACUAAAUAUUACAGCCAACACGCAGCUGACUCCCUCUUCGGGGCCUCACAUGAUGCGUACACGGCCCCGUUUGAUGGCCUUUCCCUCGCCCACCCUGACCCUGACCCAGACGCCUGCACAAAGGCACUGGCGUGGGCAACAGCAUCGAUCGAACACCUAGAACACCAGGCCACCCCCGCCAUUACCUUCAUGAUUAUCCCACAAGGCAAAGGCGCCGCCAGCCGGUGCCUUGCGAGUCCGCAUGUCACCAUCCUGGCCCUGAUUCCGCCUGGCGUAUCCGCCUCUAGCAUGUUAGAUGGCCUCGGGGCGGCCGACGAGGCUGCCAGCAGCAAGCAGGGCCUGCAGCUACUCCUCAUUGCGAACACCACAGGGGUACAAGCACUCAACUCCAACAACAACCUGACACGUCUCCAAACCUCCCUGGCCGAACUUGGAGCGGUGCCACCACCGACCUCGCAACCCCCAGGGCGCCGACAACCACUGAAGUGGCCCGCGCGCGUAACCCUCCCCCGUGACCGCACAGCCCCACCGGGCCGACCAUACAGCCACCGUGCAAAAGCCCGUGCAAAGCAGCUAACUAGACCCCAAGCCCCAGCAGCACGGGGCCUGGACACAUGCCCUACGCCCAUGCCCACGCUCUCUGCCCUCUACACCACACGAGCUGCCUUCCCCACUCGGAGCAGCUACCUGUACGAUGCCGCCACCAUUGUUUGGACCGACGGAUCUUGCAUCAAAGUUGCGGCCGGUGAAGAUGGCAACGAAAUGAACAAACUCGGCGCCUGCGCGUGGUCCCAACAGACCGAACACAUCUACGUCGAACCAGGCGGCCUCAACAGCACCAACACAAUCCAGAGAGCCGAACUAUCAGCCAUUCUCGUUGCGUUAGAAUACAUCCGCCCCCGACUCUGUCUGCUGGGCAUGACCCAAGUAACCAUAGCCAGUGAUUCCCUAGUGUCUCUCUACUUGAUCCGCCGAGCCCUUACUGCACCACAACGACUCCUACUAUCCAAGCAUAAAAACCUGCUGGAAAACAUACUCCACGAGCUACAAAUGUAUGCCGACGCCGGGGUCACAGUCCAGCUGCUGAAAGUCCGCUCUCACACAGGGCUCCUCGGCAACGAGGAAGCUGACAAAGGUGCCGCCAAAGUCGCCGCCAAUGACAUGGAGGCCAUGGGGCAGGCCAUACGCUUAGCACCAGACGAACCGUGGUCCAACAUCUGGUGGCCCAAACGCAACUCUGACAAUUUCUACCUAAGUGACCUAAACCGUGGAGUCCUGAACUCAUUGCCCCCCGAAGCACAACAAGGCUUUACCAAUAAUACACCAGUGCUGGAGCAAUGGGCGGAAGCAUCUGCCAACAUGUGCCCCACCCUCAGCAACCGCACCCUCGCCAGCUCCACCAGGCACCCCUGGCUGGUCAAGCAAAUACUCUACGCCCGCUACGGCUACCUCUUCAACGCACAGCUUAAACGGCGCUACCGCCUGGGAGGGAACGGCAACUGCCCCCUCUGCCACACCCCUGACUCCGGCGGGCACAUCCUCGGAGGCUGCACACACCCUAAAAUGAAAGGCGCGUACAUCAAUCGGCACAACUGGGCAGUCCAGCGUGUCGCCAAAUGCAUCUCCAAAGGGACCUACGGGAACGGGUUCAUGGUCAUGGACGCGGGCCCGCUAGCCGACCUGCCACACUAUGCGUCUGCACAACGCCCCCCCGCCUGGCUGGCUGCGGAGAGGACAUCAUCACCCCUUAUUACAAGGCUCAGACCUGACAUUCUGUUCAUCCCAAACCUGCCCGCCCAUGAAACACAUAGAGAAGGGUACCGCCCGCCCCUGAACAAAGCACGGCUGCCCAUCUAUAUCCUUGAAAUCGGUUACAGCUCUGACGUUCGCCAUUUGGACAAGCGGGAAGAAAAAUCUCAACAACAUCAAGAACUCAAGCGACUGCUGGAAGCGGCCGGAUGGACGGUCCACUACUCCACCAAUGAAUGCCUUGCGCUCGGAGUGACUGGGGCCAUCCCUUGCAACCUCACUAAGCUGCUCACCUCUCAACUUGGGGUGACCCACACAGCCGCACGAGUAUGCGGAGAGAGGCUCCACACACACGCUGUGAACAGUGCGGGCGGCAUUAUCAAAAUGCGCCGAGUAACCGAGCAGGAACUCAAACCGAGAGGUGGGUGAGCCACGGCUCCCCCACACCUCCUCGGAGUGCGUGGUGAGGUGGCAGCGCGAGGGGGAUGGGCCUCCUCGCCCUAGCCACCUUACCCCGAUAAUCCACGCCAGGCCCCAUGGGCCGGCGUUUGAAUUAUUAUUAUUAUUCCCGCUGCAGUUGAGGCUUAUUGCAAGCGCAACCAGGCUGCACGGCGCGCCACUACUGUGCAGUGGAGCCUGGGCCGUUUCCUACACCUGGUGUUGCAGAGUUCAAAGUGUACAACACGCUAGCUAACCCUCCUGGCAUACUUUUAACGGCGCGAACAGUUCCAGUAACGCUGCUGGCGCAUACAGCUCUCGUGCCAUAAUUAGAAGUUCCUAACGUAUGCCUUCAUAGUUGACUUCGUUGCUGCCGCUACAAGGUUUGCUUCAUAACCCACCCGUUCACAUACCUUGCCACACGAUGCUGCAGGACCGCACGUGCCACAAGCGAUUUCCAUGUGCACGGCAGAGCUUUCACCCCUUCCAGUCCUGCCUUUCCACACGUCGCCCCAAUGUCGGCCUGCAUGUAGCUUGCCUGGGACCAUACUUCCGCCAUGCUCCACCUGCCCCUCAAUCCCUGGGGGGUCCGACAGGGGGGCGCCGCCCCCCUGUCAAAGAGAGAACCCGGGGCCCGAGGGAUCGGUAGUAAUGAUCAUCCCAACAAUGAUAAUGCUGCACUUCGCGCCGCGUUCCAGGGGGGUCGACAGGGGGGCGCCGCCCCCCUGUCCAUUUCCGGGGGGUGCAGGGGGGCUGGCCCCCCUGCGGGAAUACCUUUGUUACGCCCGCCUCAAAUGCUUCCCCGCCCUCCGGCUCUUUCAUGUGGCCACCCUCGGGGGCGGGCGGGGGCAUGCGGGUCUAGAGGCCUUGUAUUAUUGCCCCCGCUCUUAAGGGUCUCGCUACACGUUUUGGGUUACGGCGCCAUAGACGCCGCGCCGCGCCCUCGUUCGCGCGCCCGGCGCGCUAGUCUGAAAGCCCGCAACCCCGCGCACCUAUAACCCCGCGAAACCGCGCGCGGCGUGCGCGCCAGCGCGAGAACCCGCCCAACCGCCGCGACCCAAGCACGGGCGCCCACGAUCCGGGCGCGGGCUCCCGCGCGCGCGCCAGCGCUGCUCCGGCCGCACGCGCGCCCUCGGAGCGCCGGUGCCGGGGUUGGCUUUACGCAGGCGCGAGUCGCGCUGCCGCGCGCGCAGCGCGGCGCCUGGCAUUGCCGUGUUCCCGCCGCCGCGCUGUCGAUGAUCACUGGCACCACCGCUGGUGGUGCUCUCGCCAUGCACCGGCGAGCGUAUCCGCUGGUGAUACACGUGAACAGUAUUGCUCAUGACAUGGCUCAUGAUAUUGGCGCGGGAAACGUUGGAAAAACGCACGGAAACGUUGGAGCCCACGUUUUGUAACUCCGAGGAGGGGUUGCACGCGGCCGGCGGUGGCCCGUUUCAUGCCACUGCUUUGUUUGCACGGCCUGCACAUGCCUACCGGUGCUGCGGCACCAGUUUGCUGUUCCGCGUUGGUCGCGAGCUUGUACAGCCGAUGUACGUGCAGUAAGUUGUAACCCGCGGAUCUUGGCGGCAGCCGCACUGCCCGUGGGUCACCUGUCAGCAUGCUUCCGUGCUGCCACGCCCGCUCAACCCAUUGCAGCAGCACACUAAUAACUAGCUAGGGCCGCCUCGCAGCCAUGCAGUCAUUGCGCACAGCACGCAAAUCCCGCGCGCCGAGGGCAAGCUGCUGAUGACAGGCGCGUUUUCAAGCGGCCAAUGACAGCAGCCUGUCACACGGCAGCCCCUGCAGCAAGCGAUACAAGCCGGCGCCCAGUGCUUUCCCGUUUACCCGCGGCGGCUCCUUUGUUCAGCUCCGCACACACAUACCGUACGUUUAGCUGAUCACCACGCACCCCUAAAAAAAAACAAUUAUUUCUGCACCACGCACCCCUAAACCGGCAACUAUUUUGCACCACGCACCCCAUGGUGCGGUAACUUUACAGAACCACGCAGCCGUGAAACUGCGGGGUGUGUGGUCCCAAGUGUGUGUGUACAAUACAAGGGGCGAGUGCUACUAGCUGACUGCACACCGGUGUCCAUGCCAUGCGUGCUGUAAUCGCCACCGCCACCGCCACCGCUACCGCUACCGCCACCGCCACCGCCUCGCGCUCUGCCCUUGCGGCUGCGGCGGCCGCUUUACCAAGCGCAGCACCAUCCUCAAACAGCUUGUAGUAUGUGGAUUUGCUAACAGCCCCAAAGAACUGGCCGAUGGUUCCCUUUGGCGGCAUCGAGCUUAGUUUGGCAGCUAAAACAUUGAUGCUUUAGGUGGAAUGGAUACUCCGUAGUGGUAUUCGUUGUAUAUUAAGCAAUAGCGAUGAAGAUUUGAGGAUUUGGCGAUUUUGGCGGAAUGGCACGCCCGGGAUGGGUAUUUCUGUGGAACCCCGCACCCCUCCCGAAACAAUUCGUGCAGAACCCCGCACCCCCCCCUCAGGUGCGUGGUAUUUCGGGUUUUCUGUCAAAAUAAUUAAUUACAUGCGUGGUGAUAUGGAUUAGGUACGGUACGUUGUAUUUACCGCUUUCCCGUGCCCGCGGCCACACACAGUUGCAGGCAUCAGCGCAGGCGCGGCGUGGCGUUUCAGGUAAGCUGUUGUUUGCUGCCUGCUUGUUUGCGUGGCCUGAGUUCCCUUGCUGGUGCUGGGUCUCACUCCAUAUCCUGCUCGGCGUGUUUGCAGGGCAGCCAUCCAUGCACCAGUGCGGUGCUGGCGUGCUGCUCGCACGUGAUAUGGACGUUCUUAACCCGUGCUGGUGCAUGCCUGCAGGCGCCGCGCUGACGCUGUGGGUUUGUUUCCUGACCGUCGGCUGUCAGUAGUCCAACGUGCGCGUGCGUGGCCGGGGUAUUAUUCAGCUGGGUUCAUGCGUGCACAAAGGUACUUUGUGGGCCGCAUGGUUUAACGCGCUUGCUCCCCUGCCUGUUGUUUGUCCCGCUGCAGUUGAGGCUUAUUGCAAGCGCAACCAGGCUGCGCGGCGCGCCACUACUGUGCAGUGGAGCCUGGGCCGUUUCCUACACCUGGCGUUGCAGAGUUCAAAAUGUACAACACGCUAGCUAACCCUCCUGGCAUACUUUUAAUGGCGCGAACAGUUCCAGUAACGCUGCUGGCGCAUACAGCUCGCGUGCCAUAAUUAGAAGUUCCUAACGUAUGCCUUCAUAGUUGACUUCGUUGCUGCCGCUACAAGGUUUGCUUCAUAACCCACCCGUUCACAUACCUUGCCACACGAUGCUGCAGGACCGCACGUGCCACAAGCGAUUUCCAUGUGCACGGCAGAGCUUUCACCCCUUCCAGUCCUGCCUUUCCACACGUCGCCCCAAUGUCGGCCUGCAUGUAGCUUGCCUGGGACCAUACUUCCGCCAUGCUCCACCUGCCCCUCAAUCCCUGGGGGGUCCGACAGGGGGGCGCCGCCCCCCUGUCAAAGAGAGAACCCGGGGCCCGAGGGAUCGGUAGUAAUGAUCAUCCCAACAAUGAUAAUGCUGCACUUCGCGCCGCGUUCCAGGGGGGUCGACAGGGGGGCGCCGCCCCCCUGUCCAUUUCCGGGGGGUGCAGGGGGGCUGGCCCCCCUGCGGGAAUACCUGUGUUACGCCCGCCUCAAAUGCUUCCCCGCCCUCCGGCUCUUCAAUGUGGCCACCCUCGGGGGCGGGCGGGGGCAUGCGUGUCUAGAGGCCUUGUUAUUAUUGGCGCCGCCGCCGCACGCCUGGUCGCGCGCCUGACCGGGCCGCCUGGAAGCCAGCACGCUCUUCUAGGCCCUGGCGCUGCCCCGCACGCGCGCCGCGCGCCCCAGCGCGAGACCCCGCCCAACUGCCGCGAUCCAGCUGCCGGCUCCCUGGAUCCGGGCGCCGGCUCCGCGCGGCACCAGCUCGCGCGGUGCGCGCCCAUCCUUCGCCCGCCGGGCCGCGGGAGCCACGCGCUGCCGCCCCCUACAAAUGGGCGCCGCCGGGGGCCGCCACCGCGCGCCGGGCUGACCGCCAGGCCAGGCUUGGUGCCGGCCGCCCCCAUGAUGAUCGCUAGUGCUCAUCGCUGGUGGUGGCAUCAGCUGUGACGUGUCAAAACAUGUUGGCUAGCGUGUCAUUACAUGUGUAUACAUUUUAUACAUUGCUUAUAUACUUGCUACACCAUCACUAGCCACGCGCCGUUGCAAAACCAGCCGGAAACCGCUCGUGGCAGCGGCCGCCUUGCCCCGCCCGCUGCCCCGCCGCGCUAGGCUGCCGCGACUGAUCCAGCUAGGCUGCGCCUGCAGCAUCGCAACCAAAUUGCGCAUGGAGUGCGAGUGGAAGGCGUGUGCCAAUACAAAGGCCCAACUGCUGCCGCCCAACUGCCCAACUGCCAAGUGUGCUGCAGUUACUCGGCCAGCUCCAUUUGUUUGCACUGUUCUUAUGUCGGUGCUUUAAUUGUAAAAUAAUUAAAACCAUUGCAAUCAUAUGCAGCUGCCUCGUGCACCAUGCGCGCAAGUGCGGUUGUGCAGUGGGCUCAACAGCCGAGCAAAACCAGCAGUUACACGCCCUCGCUCCCACUUUCCAAAACGGGCGCUCACUCUAUGCACAAGCCCGCACGAAUGCAUGAUGCUAUCAUUUGUGAACAGGCGCCCCUGCUUAGUGCACCUGGCUCCAGUGCAACCCCUCGCAGCGCAACAGAGUCGCAUUAUUCAAAGUCGCACCUUCCCAAUGUGCACAACCCAGCUGCAUCCAAGAAAGCAAUAUCCGCUCCACGCAUGCUGUAAACUGUGCCACACAGUGGAGUCCAGUUCAUGUCCGUGCAACAACUGUUUGCAACCACCCCAGCAAUGCAGUUCCAGCCUGCGUCCUCGCCUUCCUCCCACCCAAACGUUCCGCAUGCCGGUGCAUGUACUAGGCUCCCCUCUCACCCAUACCCUAGCCACCGUUUCCCCCCGGGGGGGGGUCCGACAGGGGGGCGCCGCCCCCCUGUCAAAGAGAAGCGACGGGCCGCGAGGGGGGCGGGUAAUAAUCCCUACCUGCCACUCCCACCCCCAUCAUCAUCACAGAUCCUUUGUGCUGCAUACCAGGGGGGUCGACAGGGGGGCGCCGCCCCCUGUCUAUCUCCGGGGGGUGCAGGGGGGCUGGCCCCCCUGCGGGGGAAAAAUGAGAUGCUUCCUUAGUUGCUCCCUUCUCCUCCUUCUCCCCCGUCUGUCAUCCCACCGCCUCCCCUUGGGGGCGCGCGGGGGCAUGUGGAUCUAAGGGCCUCGUUAUUGUUCCCGCUCCUAUAUGCCCCGUUAAAUUUUUUUGGGUUACUUUCGGAUGGCGCCGCGGCCUGGUCGCGCGCCUGGCCAGGCCGCCUGGAAGCCAGCACGCUCUUCUAGGCCCUGGCGCUGCCCUGCGCGCGCGCCGCGCGCCCCAGCGCGAGAGCCCGCCCAACCGCCGCGAUCCAGCCGCCGGCUCCCCGGAUCCGGGCACUGGCUCCGCGCAGCGCCAGCUCGCGCGGCGCGCGCCCAUCCUUCGCCCGCCGGGCCGCGGGAGCCGCGCGCUGCCGCCCCCUGCAAAUGGGCGCCGCCGGGGGCCGUCGCCGCGCGCCGGGCUGGCUGCUUGGCCGGGCUCUGUGCCGGCCGCCCCCAUGAUGAGCGCUAGUGCUUGUUGCGUUGCUUGAUCGUCCGGGUCGUCAUCGUGUCGGCCUUGGCGUUGCCGCAUUGUCAGGUUGCGGUCCUUCGGAGGCCGUGUGGGGCGGGCGGGUGCAUCGGGGCCCGCAGCAAGUCGGUUGGUGUAUUCUGAUAUCAGCUCCUCCCACUCCAGGUCAUGCUUUAGGUCACGCUCACGCUCAUUGCUGUUUGCCCACGUAACUUGGCGCAGGAGACGAGUCGACCUUGAUGAAAAGAGGGCCGCACGUGGGGCAUGUGUUGUCUCGAGUGGCCCGGGCGCAGGUGCGGUGGGCGGCGCGUGUGCAGGUAGGGGGCCGGCAGGUUGGGCCGCUGUUGCUGUGUCUGCAUCUGUCGUGCCGGCCCCAUCUGGGUGGGGCUGUGUCGUGCGUGGGCGAGCCUGCAGUGGGUGCUUGAGUUUCCCUAAUCUCUUGUCGGCCGCCGUCCCGAGCCUGCCGUGCGACCGUCUCUACAACGUCCCUCGGCUCUACAACGUCAUGUUCGCUUGUGCGUGUUGCGUUUUUCAAGCAUUUUCAAUAACCGUGUCCUUGAAACGCGCCCAAGGUCUUCCUGCGUACCUGGGCAUCUCUCCGGCCUCCCCUUCUGCUUUGCUAUUGGCUUCCUCGACUGCUUCCCGCUUCUGCUACGGUUUCCCCUUCUGCUUCCCUAUCCGUUUCCUCAACUGUACGUGCUUGCAUUCAGCACCUCUAUCUCUCCAGGGCGGCAGGGUUGAGUGAGACAGCCUCUGCCACGGCUGCAGGCCUGAACCUGCACCACCCGCUUAGGGCGCACUGACGCCCCUGCCUGC